rnacentral:rRNA from 1 species
CAGCAGCCGCGGGAAUACGUAGGGUGCGAGCGUUAAUCGGAAUUACUGGGCGUAAAGCGUGCGUAGGUGGUGGUUUAAGUCCGUUGUGAAAGCCCUGGGCUCAACCUGGGAAUUGCAGUGGAUACUGGGCCACCAGAGUGUGGUAGAGGAUAGUGGAAUUUCCGGUGUAGCAGUGAAAUGCGUAGAGAUCGGAAGGAACAUCUGUGGCGAAGGCGACUAUCUGGGCCAACACUGACACUGAGGCACGAAAGCGUGGGGAGCAAACAGGAUUAGAUACCCCAGUAGUCCCUGUCUCUUAUAC